AGGGUAAAACCCUCCUUGGGCUGUGAGCUCCCAGCUCUCUCCUCACACAGGGCUGAGGUCUCUGGGGAAGGCAGAGCUGUGGUCUAGAAGAAGAUGGCACUGCUGGGUCUUCUCCUGUGCCUGGUGACAGCCCCCCAAGGUGUCCUGUCCCAGGUGCAGCUGCAGGAGUCGGGCCCAGGACUGGUGCAACCCUCGCAGACCCUGUCCCUCACCUGCGCUGUCUCUGGAUUCUCCAUCACCAGUGGUUACUGCUGGCACUGGAUCCGACAGCCCCCGGGGAAGGGACUGGAGUGGAUCGGGCGCAUAUGCUAUAAUGGGAACACAUACUACAGCCCGUCCCUCAAGAGCCGCUCCUCCAUCUCCAGAGACACGUCCAAGAACCAGUUCUCCCUGCAGCUGAGCUCUGUGACCACCGAGGACACGGCCGUGUAUUACUGUGCGAGGGACACAGUGAGGGGAAGUUCCAGGGACGGCAGCCGGGCGCUGUAUCUGCUGACAGGACUGGUCAAGCUCUCGGCUGGUGGAACUCACCCUGUCAUCUCUGGGAACACACGGCUUCCCAAGGAGAGCUGUCAGCUCAGUGCUCCGAACAGAGGGAUCCCCCACAUCUAUCCUCCAGAGGAGCCAGUGCCCUGCAGGAAGCAGUGGCAGCACCACAGUGGGGACAUGUGCCAGGGAGCGCUGGGAUGUGUAUCACCGAAUUUCUCCCAGAUUUCCUCCUGGAUCUGUGGCUUUCAAGCUUUGCUGCAGUGA